GCAGUUAGACAUCUUCCUGAUCAUCCAGCAUACUCUGAUGAGGAUGGGUUAGAAUCUAUUGCAUCAUCUGUUUCAGCCGAGAGUGAAGGAGAGGAUGCAGAUCAUCAUCUGUUGACUAUACCCAAUGGUGAUGUUGCAUUUUUAAAGGAAAAACCAGUAAGGCUAGCAAGGGAACUCUUGUAGAAUUUGUCUGCAAUUCCUAUUCUUUCUAUCUGGGGUCUUUAUGGUGUUUGUACUUUAGUGUAUGACCUUCAGUGUAUCAGUAAGCUUGGCUUUGGUCUAAUUAAUUAAAUCCCUCGGUGUUUAUUUCACAAUACAAUGAUCUUGUGCAAGACUUCUCUGAUGCCUCCAUUUUUUUUUCCUUCCAAAUG
rnacentral:misc_RNA from 1 species